rnacentral:rRNA from 1 species
UACGGAGGGUGCGAGCGUUAUCCGGAUUUACUGGGUUUAAAGGGUGUGUAGGCGGAUUAUUAAGUCAGUGGUGAAAUCCCGGGGCUCAACCCCCGGAACUGCCAUUGAUACUAUUAGUCUUGAAUACUGUGGAGGUGAGCGGAAUGUGUCAUGUAGCGGUGAAAUGCUUAGAGAUGACACAGAACACCGAUUGCGAAGGCAGCUCACUACGCAGUUAUUGACGCUGAGGCACGAAAGCGUGGGGAUCAAACAGG